UUCCCCUCCCCGUCUCUUCCUCACGGCGACGGGAAAUGGCGGCCGAGCUGCGAUAAGGGAGCGGGGCAGCUGGGAGCGCCGCCCGCCAGGAAUUAAUAUUUCUGAGAGCACAUUUUGAGAAUUUUAAAAUCACUUCAUUGAUUAACAUCUAGAGGCCUAAGAAGUAAUCCACUGAAGAAAAUGGGUAGAUCUAAUUCUAGAUCUCAUUCUUCAAGAUCAAAGUCCAGAUCUCAGUCCACUUCGAGGUCGAGGUCCAGAUCACAUUCUAGAAAAAAGAGAUACAGUUCUAGGUCUCGGUCCAGGACAUAUUCACGAUCUCGCAGUAGGGAUCGUGUUUAUUCUAGAGAUUAUCGCAGAGAUUACAGAAAUAAUAGAGGAAUGAGACGCCCCUAUGGUUACAGAGGAAGAGGUAGAGGGUAUUAUCAAGGAGGAGGUGGUAGAUAUCAUCGUGGAGGCUACAGACCUGUCUGGAAUCGAAGACACUCCCGAAGCCCUAGGCGGGGUCGUUCACGUUCCAGAAGUCCAAAGCGAAGGUCUGUGUCUUCCCAGAGGUCCAGGAGCAGAUCUCGUCGAUCUUACAGAUCUUCCAGGUCUCCAAGGUCCUCUUCAUCUCGUUCCUCAUCCCCAUACAGCAAAUCGCCUGUCUCUUCCAAAAGACGUGGAUCUCUGGAAAAGCAGGCUAAGAAAACUGAGGGAGCUCCUCUGCAAGAUAGCCCUUUAAAAAGUAAAUCACAGGAUGAACAGAAAGAUACAUUUGAACAUGACCCAUCUGAGUCCCUUGAUGACUUUAACAAAUCAUCAGCAGCUUCUGGUGACAUUUGGCCUGGCCUUUCAGCAUAUGAUAACAGUCCAAGGUCACCCCAUAGUCCUUCUAUUGCCUCCCCACCCAGUCAGAGUUCAUCUUGCUCUGAUGCCCCUUUGCUCAGCACAGUUCACUCAGCUAAAAACACACCUCAACAUUCACAUUCCAUUCAACAUAGCCCUGAGAGGUCUGGCUCUGGUUCCCUUGGAAAUGGUUCCAGUCGCUACAGUCCUUCUCAGAAUAGCCCAUUGCAUCAUAUCCCUUCAAGGAGAAGCCCUGGAAAGACAAUCCCUUCACAGAGUGCUCCACGUGAGGAGGCUCGAAUGCGCUCAUUUUAUCCUGAAGCUGGGGAACAGGAAACUGCAAAGGGUGGAAAGUUUCUAAAAAGGUACACAGAUGAAGAGUCUAGAGUAUACCUGCUUGAUAGGGGUAAUACCAGGGAAAAAGAGGCCCAGAAGGAGAGAGGAUCAGAAAAAGGGAGGACAGAGGGAGAAAGGGAAUGGGAGGAUCAGGAAGCUUUAGAUUAUUUCAUUGGUAAAGAUGCUGGGAAACAAAAGUUUAGUGACUCUGAAGGGGAGGAGACAGAGGAGACAGAGGAUUAUGGACAGUUCAGAAAAUCUGUCCUCGCAGAUCAGGGUAAAAAUUUUGCUACUGCAUCUCACCGGAAUGCUGAGGAGGAAGGAACCAAAUACAAAUCUAAAAUUUCAAUGAAGGGCAAUAGAGAGAGUGAUGGAUUUAGAGAAGACAAGAGUUAUAAACUUAAAGAGACUGGCUAUGUAGUGGAAAGGCCUAGUGCAACAAAAGAUAAGCACAAGGAAGACGACAAAAGUUCUGAGAGAAUAAUGGUGAAGAAAGAAACUCAGUCACCUGAGCAGGUAAAGUCUGAAAAGCUCAAAGAACUCUUUGAUUACAGUCCCCCUCUACACAAGAAUCUGGAUGCGAGAGAAAAAUCCACCUUCCGAGAGGAGAGCCCACUUAGGAUCAAAAUGAUAGCCAGUGACUCCCAUCGUCCUGAAGUUAAGCUCAAAAUGGCACCAGUCCCUCUUGAUGAUUCCAAUAGACCUGCUUCCUUGACUAAAGACAGGCUGCUUGCUAGUACGCUUGUCCAUUCUGUCAAGAAGGAGCAAGAGUUCCGAUCCAUCUUUGACCACAUUAAGUUGCCACAGGCCAGCAAAAGCACGUCCGAGUCAUUUAUUCAGCACAUUGUGUCUUUGGUUCAUCAUGUCAAAGAACAAUACUUCAAGUCAGCUGGAAUGACCCUAAAUGAGAGGUUCACUGCGUAUCAAAAAGCUACUGAAGAACAUUGCACCCGGCAAAAGAGCCCAGAAAUACACAGGAGGAUUGACAUCUCUCCAACUGCCCUGAGGAAGCAUACCCGUUUAGCAGGUGAAGAGAGAGUCUUUAAAGAAGAAAGUCAAAAAGGAGAUAAAAAAUUAAGAUGCGAUUCUGCUGAUCUUCGGCACGACAUUGACCGUCGUCGAAAAGAGCGAAGUAAAGAACGAGGGGACUCUAAAGGUUCCAGGGAAAGCAGUGGAUCAAGAAAGCAGGAGAAAACACCAAAAGAUUACAAGGAUUACAAAUCUUACAAAGAUGACAGUAAACAAAAAAGAGAGCAAGACCGUUCUCGAUCUUCCUCAUCUUCAUCCCCGUCUUCCGCCUCAUCCAGUUCACGAGAAGAAAAAGAUGGCAAGAAAGAAAGAGAUGAAGAGUUCAAAACCCACCAUGAGCAGAAAGAAUAUUCAGGUUUUACAGGAGUCAGCAGGCCGAGAGGCACCUUUUUUCGAAUUAGGGGCAGAGGAAGAGCCAGAGGCGUUUUUGCUGGAACAAAUACUGGUCCCAGCAACUCAAAUGCUACUUUUCAAAAGAGACCGAAGGAAGAGGAAUGGGAUCCUGAAUAUACCCCAAAAAGCAAGAAAUACUUCUUGCAUGAUGACAGAGAUGAUGGUGUGGAUUAUUGGGCCAAAAGAGGAAGAGGCCGUGGCACUUUCCAGCGUGGCAGAGGGCGGUUUAACUUCAAAAAAUCAGGUAGCAGUCCAAAGUGGACACAUGACAAAUACCAAGGGGAUGGGCUUGUGGAAGAUGAAGAAGAAACAAUGGAAAAUAAUGAAGAAAAGGACAGACGCAAAGAAGAAAAGGAGUAAUAUGAAGAAAAAUUCCAGCUGAAAAAGCAGCCCUUGCACCACCCACACAGCAUUUUUAAUAUUUUUUUGUCGUCAAAUGAAUACCACCCCCACGAUGGGAGCUCUCUUCUGAACAGAUCUAAAUCUGACAAGUAUAGCUGUAGCAUAACAGGUGCUACGUUUCUCCGUCCAUAUACCGCUACUGGGGAAAUGCCUCAACUGUUUGUGCAACAGCCCAAAAAGUAGCUUGACUUCUAUACACUGUAACCGGAAGAUUUGUCCUACAUUCCAAAUGCAUGUUCCAUUUUUGCAUAUGACAGAACAAGGUAAACCACUAGUUGAAAAAGAGUUACUUUUAAGAAAAUCUGUUUAGUAUAUUUCAGACUUUGCAUGCAUAAUGUAUGAAGUCUUGUGAAUGGAGCACUAGUUGCUAUCUUAAAACGUUUCAAGCACAGUGAAUAACACAAAAUGACACUCUCAAGACUACGUUUUAAUUGUUUUAAUUGGUGACUCAUGGGUUACCAAUAGAAAGUUUUAGUCAAAAAGUUUGUGGCACUAUUAAUCCAGCUGCCCUUUGUGUCAGUCUUUGUUCCAGUUCAUAAAACUGCCUUUUCAAUUUCUUUACGUGGGCUUUCCUCUUCAGGUAAAUAUUCUGGCAAGUGUGAAUUCUCUAUUACGUUUACAGUCUUAUAUGAAAUAAAAAU